rnacentral:rRNA from 1 species
UAGAACUUAAUUAAUAUAUCAAUAAAUUAUUAAUAUAUUAAUUAUAUUGGGGUGAUAAAAAUUUUAUUUUAACAAUUUUUUUUUAUUUCAAUUAUAUUUGAUUUUUUGAUCCAAUUGUUUUGAUUAUAAGAUCAAGUUACCUUAGGGAUAACAGCGUAAUUUAAUUGGAGAGUUCUUAUUGAUAAUUAAAGUUUGCGACCUCGAUGUUGAAUUAAGAUUAGAAUUAGGAGUAGUCGCUUAUAUUUUUUGGUCUGUUCGACCAUUUGAUUCUUACAUGAUUUGAGUUAAGACCGGCGUGAGCCAGGUCGGUUUCUAUCCUUAAUUAACUAUUAUUAUUUUUUAGUACGAGAGGACCAAAAAUUUAAUUUAUAUAUU